rnacentral:rRNA from 1 species
GACGAACGCUGGCGGCGUGCUUAACACAUGCAAGUCGAACGAAGUGGCGAACGGGUGAGUAAUACGUGGGUAACCUGCCCUCCUUUUUGGGAUAAGCCUUGGAAACGGGGUCUACUACCGAAUAAUGGGGGAUGGGCUCGCGGCCUAUCAGCUUGUUGGUGGGGUGAUGGCGUACCAAGGCGGUGACGGGUAGCCGGCCUGAGAGGGUGAUCGGCCACAUUGGGACUGAGAUACGGCCCAGACUCCUGCGGGAUGCAGCAAUGGGGGGAAGCCUGACCGAGCAACGCCGCGUGAGUGAAGAAGGUUUUCGGGUCGUAAAGCUCUGUUGUUAAGGAAGGAGGACUUAACCAGAAAGGGACGGCUAACUACGUGCCAGCAGCCGCGGUAAUAC